rnacentral:rRNA from 1 species
UACGAAGGGGGCUAGCGUUGCCCGGAAUUACUGGGCGUAAAGCGCAUGUAGGCGGCGAUUCAAGUCGGGGGUGAAAUCCCAGGGCUCAACCCUGGAACUGCCUUCGAUACUGUAUUGCUAGAGUGUGGAAGAGGUAAGUGGAACUGCAAGUGUAGAGGUGAAAUUCGUAGAUAUUUGCAAGAACACCAGUGGCGAAGGCGGCUUACUGGUCCAUUACUGACGCUGAGAUGCGAAAGCGUGGGGAGCAAACAGG